GUUCCUCUCUCGUGUUGGUUAUAAAAAAAGACUCUUACUUGCCUGUCGUCCUGUAGACUCCUCCAUUUUGUGGUCGCAACCACCGCAGCCAUGCGAGUUCCUGACGGAAUCCUCGAGCCGGAAGGUGACUUCGCGGGAACGCCUGUCAGCGACGUGGGGGCGAAGUUGUGGAACGCACAUUUCCUGGAGGACAUUUAGGCCAGGCCACAGAAUGUGGUUUACCGGCGUUGUCCAAGUGUUGCUGCGCGAACUCGGAGGGUUGAAGUUGCCUGGAGUUGUUCAUAAAGGUCGAGGCCACAAGCCUACAAUGUUCCACGUUACCUGAUGGGAUCAGCUGGACAGGUCGUAUUGUCAUUCACUUACAGACCCCGGUAUAUCACACAAUGUAUGGAUUGCUGCUCUGAUAUAUAAUCACAAAACAUUUCAUUAUGGAAAACCUACAGUUUAUAUGAUCCAGUAAAAAAGCUGGAGAAAUUGCCAUAAAAGCUAAAAAAAAAUUUUUUUUACAAAGAUACCAUUUUGUAGGCAUUUGUGGAUCGAUACUGAAUUAUUUAUACCCUCAAUACUAGGACUUUAUGCUCUAAUAAUGAUUAUAAAUACAAAAUAUUGACACUUUAAUUAUUUGAAAUGUUCUAUAUAUGUCAUGAUCCGUUGCCCAGAUCAUAGUUUGUUUCACUUGUUGGCUUAGUUCUCUUUCAGCACCCCAGUUUUGCGUUUCCUUGGUUGCAAUGGCUAUUCAUUGUUUUCACCUGCCUCUGAUUAGUGUUCUAGACGCUCACCUGUUCUCAGGCGCUAAUCGGUCUGGUGCUUUUGUUUGCUUCCAUGCGACAUGAGUAAGUUUAUGUGAUUUCCUUGUGAUUGCUGCGCUAAGUUCCACCUUAUGCAUUCU